rnacentral:rRNA from 1 species
ACGGGGGGUGCAAGCGUUGUUCGGAAUUAUUGGGCGUAAAGCGCGUGUAGGCGGUUUGUUAAGUCUGAUGUGAAAGCCCUGGGCUCAACCCAGGAAGUGCAUUGGAUACUGGCAGGCUUGAAUACGGGAGAGGGUAGUGGAAUUCCUGGUGUAGGAGUGAAAUGCGUAGAGAUGAGGAGGAACACCGGUGGCGAAGGCGGCUACCUGGACCGAAACUGACGCUGAGACGCGAAAGCGUGGGGAGCAAACAG